UACAUAGAAUACUUGGGUGACAUCUGCCUGAGAGAUCUCCAAGAAUUACAGAAGACAAAAAUACUAAUGCAUUUGAGAAAGCGGUAGUUUUGGGGGGAGGGGUAAAAAGCAACUGCUUUCCUGAUCUGCAACUUGGCUGGAUGCUAAGAUGUCAGUGGACAUGAAUAGCCAGGGGUCUGACAGCAAUGAAGAGGACUAUGACCCAAAUUGUGAGGAAGAGGAAGAAGAAGAAGAUGAAGACCCUGGGGACAUAGAGGACUAUUACGUGGGAGUAGCCAGCGAUGUGGAGCAGCAGGGGGCUGAUGCCUUUGAUCCCGAGGAGUACCAGUUCACUUGCUUGACCUACAAGGAAUCUGAGGGUGCCCUCAAUGAGCACAUGACCAGCUUAGCUUCUGUCCUAAAGGUGAGCAGUGUUGUAAACUCCAGUGUAAUCCCCCCCAGUUAAAUCUAAGGAUGAGCUGUUGUUAAUUAAUGUCUCCUCCAGACUAAUUGAAUGGCCUUGUAGCUUGAAACCAAAUUUAAGUGUAUGUCAACAUCAUUUGGACA
rnacentral:sRNA from 1 species